rnacentral:rRNA from 1 species
UAGAGUUUGGNUCUGGCUCAGGACGAACGCUGGCGGCGUGCCUAAUACAUGCAAGUCGAACGAACUCUGGUAUUGAUUGGUGCUUGCAUCAUGAUUUACAUUUGAGUGAGUGGCGAACUGGUGAGUAACACGUGGGAAACCUGCCCAGAAGCGGGGGAUAACACCUGGAAACAGAUGCUAAUACCGCAUAACAACUUGGACCGCAUGGUCCGAGCUUGAAAGAUGGCUUCGGCUAUCACUUUUGGAUGGUCCCGCGGCGUAUUAGCUAGAUGGUGGGGUAACGGCUCACCAUGGCAAUGAUACGUAGCCGACCUGAGAGGGUAAUCGGCCACAUUGGGACUGAGACACGGCCCAAACUCCUACGGGAGGCAGCAGUAGGGAAUCUUCCACAAUGGACGAAAGUCUGAUGGAGCAACGCCGCGUGAGUGAAGAAGGGUUUCGGCUCGUAAAACUCUGUUGUUAAAGAAGAACAUAUCUGAGAGUAACUGUUCAGGUAUG